rnacentral:rRNA from 1 species
GAACGGGUGAGUAACACGUGAGUAACCUGCCCUUCACUCUGGGAUAAGCCUGGGAAACUGGGUCUAAUACUGGAUNUGACUGACCGUCGCAUGGUGGUUGGUGGAAAGAUUUUUUGGUGGAGGAUGGGCUCGCGGCCUAUCAGCUUGUUGGUGGGGUAGUGGCCUACCAAGGCUUUGACGGGUAGCCGGCCUGAGAGGGCGACCGGCCACACUGGGACUGAGACACGGCCCAGACUCCUACGGGAGGCAGCAGUGGGGAAUAUUGCACAAUGGGCGGAAGCCUGAUGCAGCGACGCCGCGUGCGGGAUGACGGCCUUCGGGUUGUAAACUGCUUUCGCCAGGGACGAAGCUUUUGUGACGGUACCUGGAGAAGAAGCACCGGCUAACUACGUGCCAGCAGCCGCGGUAAUACGUAGGGUGCGAGCGUUGUCCGGAAUUAUUGGGCGUAAAGAGCUUGUAGGCGGUUUGUCGCGUCUGCUGUGAAAGCCCGGGGCUUAACUCCGGGUCUGCAGUGGGUACGGGCAGACUAGAGUGUGGUAGGGGAGACUGGAAUUCCUGGUGUAGCGGUGAAAUGCGCAGAUAUCAGGAGGAACACCGAUGGCGAANGCAGGUCUCUGGGCCAUAACUGACGCUGAGAAGCGAAAGCAUGGGGAGCGAACAGGAUUAGAUACCCUGGUAGUCCAUGCCGUAAACGUUGGGCGCUAGGUGUGGGGCUCAUUCCACGAGU